UUUCCUACGGGACGCAGCAGUAGGGAAUCUUCCACAAUGGGCGCAAGCCUGAUGGAGCAACACCGCGUGAGUGAAGAAGGGUUUCGGCUCGUAAAGCCCUGUUGUUGGAGAAGAAAGUGCGUGAGAGUAACUGUUCACGCAGUGACGGUAUCCAACCAGAAAGCCACGGCUAACUACGUGCCAGCAGCCGCGGUAAUACGUAGGUGGCAAGCGUUAUCCGGAUUUAUUGGGCGGAAAGC
rnacentral:rRNA from 1 species